GACGAACGCUGGCGGCGUGCUUAACACAUGCAAGUCGAACGGAAAGGCCCUGCUUUUUGGGGUGCUCGAGUGGCGAACGGGUGAGUAACACGUGAGUAACCUGCCCUUGACUUUGGGAUAACUUCAGGAAACUGGGGCUAAUACCGGAUAGGAGCUCCUGCUGCAUGGUGGGGGUUGGAAAGUUUCGGCGGUUGGGGAUGGACUCGCGGCUUGUCAGCUUGUUGGUGGGGUAGUGGCUUACCAAGGCUUUGACGGGUAGCCGGCCUGAGAGGGUGACCGGCCACAUUGGGACUGAGAUACGGCCCAGACUCCUACGGGAGGCAGCAGUGGGGAAUAUUGCACAAUGGGCGGAAGCCUGAUGCAGCAACGCCGCGUGCGGGAUGACGGCCUUCGGGUUGUAAACCGCUUUCGCCUGUGACGAAGCGUGAGUGACGGUAAUGGGUAAAGAAGCACCGGCUAACUACGUG
rnacentral:rRNA from 1 species